rnacentral:rRNA from 1 species
CCCAUCCCAGCCACAUACCGUUCGGCUCUCAAAGACCCCAAUUGGCAACAUGCAAUGUGUGAUGAAUAUGAUGCUUUAAUGAAGAAUUCGACUUGGUGUUUGGUUCCUAGACCUGCAGGUGUUAACAUGGUGACCGGGAAGUGGAUCUACCGCCACAAGUUCCAUCCAGAUGGCACCUUGGCGCGAUACAAGGCACGAUUGGUUGUCCGUGGUUUUACUCAAAAAGAAGGCGUCGAUUAUGAAGAAACCUUCAGUCCGGUUGUCAAACCGGCCACUAUUCAAGCUGUCCUUAGCCUUGCCAUGUCGAGCUCGUGGCCCAUCCGUCAACUCGACUUCAAGAACGCCUUCCUUCAUGGCGACCUCAAGGAGACGGUGUACUGUGCUCAACCCUCUGGCUUCGUCGAUCCCUCCCGUCCGGACCACGUGUGUCUCCUCCGUAAGUCUCUCUACGGUUUGAAACAAGCUCCACGCACAUGGUUCCAUCGCUUUCGGAUGUUCCUCUUGUCACUUGGCUUUGUUGCCUCAAAGAGCGAUUCCUCCCUCUUCAUACUACACCGCGGCACCUCCAUCGCCUACCUACUUGUCUACGUCGAUGAUAUAAUUCUUACUGCCAGUACACCCCACACUCUUCACCAUAUCAUCCACGCCCUCAAACAUGAAUUUUCCAUGACCGAUCUUGGUGACCUUCAUCAUUUCCUCGGCAUAAAUGUCACCCCCAAUGAUUCUGGUCUCUUCUUAUGUCAGCAACAGUACGCUCUUGAGGUUCUUGAACGAGCCAACAUGCUCCACUGCAAGCCGGUUCCCACUCUGGUUGAUACCACCGCCAAGCUUUCUGCCCAAGCCGGCGCCCUCUUGGCCAACCCA